rnacentral:lncRNA from 1 species
GACCCUUUUUUUGGGGCUGUUAUAGUUUAUAUUGGUUUGGUUUCUACCAUUUUUCUUUGAAGUGUCUCAUCUGGCAUCAUCCUGGUGAUGGCAGAACUGGAUCAAGCUUUUGGAUUGUUCUUUUUGUUGAUCAUGCUACAGUGUAUGAGUGCUUAUACGUUGACUUUAACCACCUUUGGAAACCUUCUGCGAAUUUAGUCAUUA